rnacentral:rRNA from 1 species
GUGUCAGCCGCCGCGGUAAUACGUAGGGUGCGAGCGUUAAUCGGAAUUACUGGGCGUAAAGCGUGCGCAGGCGGUUGUGUAAGGCAGGCGUGAAAUCCCCGUGCUCAACCUGGGAAUGGCGCUUGUGACUGCACGGCUGGAGUGCGGCAGAGGGGGAUGGAAUUCCGCGUGUAGCAGUGAAAUGCGUAGAUAUGCGGAGGAACACCGAUGGCGAAGGCAAUCCCCUGGGCCUGCACUGACGCUCAUGCACGAAAGCGUGAGGAGCAAACAGGAUUAGAAACCCCCGUAGUCC